AGGGAGACCUAAUUCCGGUAGGAGACGAAAAAAAAGUAGUCCCAACCAAGAAUCAAUCCCAAAAGGUCGGAGCGAGGCGAAAUUGGCUUUCAAACUAGGUUCUGGGUUCACACAAGACCUGAAUCAGGAACAAGGGCUAUUAGCUCAGGUGGUUAGAGCGCACCCCUGAUAAGGGUGAGGUCCCUGGUUCGAGUCCAGGAUGGCCCACCUGCACAGGUGGCAAAAACAAAGAAAAAAAGCUCCGAAUCAGCACCUUAUCUUACUUAUACAGUAAGAGAGAAUGCUGGCUCUGAGUUCAGAGUCCAGAGGAACCUUGGAAACUGCAUAGAGCUAGGUGAAAAAGCCAAAAAAGAAGACCGCAA
rnacentral:tRNA from 1 species